ensembl:misc_RNA
UUGACAGCCCUGGAGACUGAAGUCCUCUAUUUAUCCACAGAGCAGACACAGCACGGGCAGCGGCAGUGCAAGCUUCGCCCACACUGCCCCUCCGCCAAUGUGCCUCAACCCUGACUUGGAGGAACCACCUCUAAAGGUGAGAGGGGUAGUUCAGUCUCCAUGCCCAUUCAAUCCUUGGCUUCU